UACGUAGGGGGCGAGCGUUGUCCGAAGUUACUGGGCGUAAAGCGCGCGUAGGCGGGUUGGCAAGUCUGCUGUGAAAGCCCGGGGCUUAACUCCGGAGGGUCGGUGGAUACUGCCAGUCUUGAAGGUGCUAGGGAGAGAUGGAAUUACAGGUGUAGCGGUGAAAUGCGUAGAUAUCUGUAGGAACACCAGUGGCGAAGGCGGUCUCUUGGGGCAUUCUUGACGCUGAGGCGCGAAAGCUGGGGGAGCAAACGGG
rnacentral:rRNA from 1 species